GCCAGGAGAGGAUUUUACUUUUUUUGCAGAGUCUUGCUUUCCUUUCUCUUCCAAGGAAGCUGGGGAAGGAAAAGCAAGCAGAGAAGUGGUUGUUAACUCACUCACCUGUUUGGGAGGGGCUGGAGGAGGAGGGAGAGAGCAGGUGUGUGGUGGAGAGACACAAGAUGGCGGAGGCGAGGAAGGGUCACAGAUGGCGGAAGUGAAGAAACACGAGGAGAUGGAACAGCUGGCCAGGGAUGGCCUGGAUCCUGCCAUGUAAAUCAAAGAAGAGAGGGUCUGACUCAGCCGCCUAGCCUGGGUCACCUGGAACCCAUUAUGAUACAGAAUCAUAAACACCUCCAUUUUCCCUUCAGAGAGAGACCAGAACCACUGAAGUUAAGCUACCUGCAUAAGAGUUGAGUGUGAUCAGCUGUACUUAAUCUUUAAAUGUCCAACCCACUGAUAACCUUUGGUUUGCUUUGAUAACUAUGAAAUAAAUUCUCACUGCAUUGGAUACUGGCAUUCUGGUUUCUAUUCAAGGCUGGGGUGCAGAUGUCAUGGAAUCUUGGACUGGACAGCAAUCCUUGGAGAUCUCUGGGGCCAGUUACUGGCUUUCAGGUACUUAAUUUCUAAGCCUCCCUCCGCUGACCCUAAAUUUCUUUAGGGAAUGACAUGGCGUUUGUGCAUUAUCAAGCUUUAGGUAUUCUGUGGGAAGAAAACCAUGUGGAGGUGAGGGAAGCA
rnacentral:lncRNA from 1 species